GUUUAAUAUUUUUGAAAUAUUCUUUAGUUCUACAAAGAGAGGUUAUUCAAUCUUGGAUUGCAACAGAAAUUGAUAUGGAAGACUGUGGAAAUCAAAAAAAUGAUAAAGAAAGCGAUCUUGAAUGCUAUGUUUUAAUUUUGAAUGAUUGGUGGAAGUUAAGAAAAGAUAUUGAAACUACGACAAGCAAUCCAGAUAUAAACAUAGAACUAGAACGGUAAUAUUUUUUCAAAAACAAU
rnacentral:lncRNA from 1 species